CGAAAAACUUCCACAGCCGAGUCCGUUUCCGUUCACGGCGGCGGCGGUGGCGCCUCCUCACGCCGGGGCUGGCGGCGUGGGAGCGGAAUCCUCCUACGUUCCCGGAAGGCUGCGGACCAGCUCCGCUCCCACCGCCUCCCGGCAUGGUGGUACCGUGCGGCCCCACCGAUCCCGCCUCGGUCGCUGGCCGCUGCUCGCGCUGCUAGGGUUUGCUUUGGAGUGGCGCCGCUGCUCGACACCGUUACUGUUGUCGGAGAAUCCGAGGUUUGCAAUGAUCGAUGGUUGGUUGAAAUGACGCGCUGGGAACUUGGGAUUUUUCGUUCGACUCGGGGGUGGGGCAUCGGUUGUUCGCGCUAGAAAAUUUGAGAAGUGCAAGGAGGCAAAUUAUUCAGUCACGGCAGUGUUUCCCUCGAUUAAAUCGAAGUAGAAGUAACAAAUUUACCAAGCAAUGUCAGAUCUGUCGGUGAUAAUAGUACGCAGCAGGACUAAUUUGUGUACUAGAUCAGCGUAACUGGUGCUUCGUUCGUCCUGUGUGAUGCGGAUGUGUAAGACCAUCAGGUGUCCUUUCAGGAACACAUGUCUGGCAAAGUUAUCAGUGCGUAUGUGCAUGUUGAGCUUAUGAGGCCCCAAUGUUUGUACUCUGUAAUGAUGCUGUUGGGGUAUGUAGGUGUGUGUUCUUAAGUGCGAAGGAAUGAAGGGUUCAUCCUAAAGGAUGCCGAUUCCCAUGUGAUUGUUCAGCUUAUAUUGUACUAAUUUAUAUGUAAGCCUAAGUCCUGGUAUUCUUUCAGCCAGUUACUCUUAAUUGUAGUUUUAUCUGUUGUGCAUCAGGAGCUUCCUCAUGUAAUCAGGGAUUCAGGUUGACCUAGAGAAAGAAGAACUGGACUACUAGAGUGACAAGAAGAGAAUUGGAACUGUGUGGCUGUUCAACAAGCAGUACAGCUGACAGAAGGCACAAAUAUCCUGCAAUUUGGGGACCGGCUGAGGCUGUCCUCCAGGCUCCAGGGGCGCAAUUAACGGGUGGCAAAUCGAAACGUCCUGAUGGUACAUACGAGAUAGCAGAUGGUCAGCCGUCGUUAUCCCAGGAUACUUCCUGCCUGCUGCCAUGGCUCGGGCAGCGUGAUUUCCUGGCCAUUGGAGGGGGAUUCCCGGAAGGUAUUAUGACCAGCGGCGAGCCGGCGAAAUGCCGACGUGGAUGAAAGAGAAGAUAUGAGAGAGAAGGCAGUGGGCGUGUAGCGAGUCGGCG